AUUGAACGCUGGCGGCAUGCCUUACACAUGCAAGUCGAACGGUAACGGGCCUCUUGCUGCUGACGUGUGCCGCACGCGUGUGUAUUAUACCUGAACGUGUCCGUUCUUGUGGGAUAACACGUCCAAAGCCUUGCUAUUAUCCCACACGCUUUACGGGUGAAAACAUGGGACCGCUUCGCCUUUCGCGCUCUGAGCGGCCCCUAGGUCAGAUUAGCUAGUUGGUGGGGUAAAAGCAUACCAAGGCGACGAUCCGUAUCUGGUCUGAGAGGAUGAUCAGUCACACUGGGACUGAGACACGGUCCAGACUCCUACGGGAGGCAGCAGUGGGGAAUAUUGGACAAUGGGCGAAAGCCUGAUCCAGCCAUGCCGCGUGUGGGAAGAAGGUCUUCGGAUUGUAAAGUGCUUUAAGAUGGGAGGAAAAGCAUUAUGUUAAUACAGGGCUGUCAUGACGGUACCAAAAGAAUAAGCACCGGCUAACUACGUG
rnacentral:rRNA from 1 species